AUUUAGCCCCAAAAGCUAGCCUGAGCCUUAAAAAACAACGAACCACAUUAAUACCCCCAGAGGCACUAUUUAUCCCCACAACAAACCAUUUUUCCGCCCAAGUAUAGGAGAUAGAAAAGGACACAACAGCGCAAUAGAGAAAGUACCGCAAGGGAACGCUGAAAAAGAACUGAAACAAACCAGUAAAGGCAAAAAAAGCAGAGAUUAGUCCUCGUACCUUUUGCAUCAUGACCUAGCAAGAAACUCCCGAGCAAAAAGCCUUUUAGUUCGGCCCCCCGAAACUAGUCGAGCUACUCCAAGACAGCCUAUAAGGGCGCCCCCGUCUCUGUGGCAAAAGAGUGGGAAGAGCUUUGAGUAGAGGUGACAGACCUACCGAGUCUAGUUAUAGCUGGUUGCCCGAGAAAUGAAUAGAAGUUCAGCUCCCUGAGUUCUUUUGCCAAAUAAGACGCAGACCACCACAGGCUAGAAGAACCUCAGGGAACCUAGUCAAGAGAGGUACAGCCCUCCUGAAAAAAGACACAACUUUUUAAGAAGGCUAAAGAUCACAUUUAAUAAAUCAAAGUAUUUAGGUGGGCCUAAAAGCAGCCACCCUCACGGACAGCGUUAAAGCUCAAAUACUUAAAACAGUAGAUACCGACAAAUUAUCUUAAGCCGCUGGAAACUAUCGGGCCCUCCUAUGCCCCCAUAGGAAAGACACUGCUAACAUGAGUAAUAAGAGAGCCAAGGCUCUCUCCCAGCACCCCUGUAAAUCAGAACGAACCCCCACUGAAAAUUAAACGCUCCCAGAAGAGGGCAUUGAGGUAGAACCAGCGAUAGCUAGAAACUCUCUCAAGGAUCAGAACGUUAACCCCACACAGGAAUGCCCGAGGAAAGACAAAAAGAAGGAGAAGGAACUCGGCAAACACCAGCCUCGCCUGUUUACCAAAAACAUCGCCUCUUGCCCCCCCC
rnacentral:rRNA from 1 species